rnacentral:rRNA from 1 species
UACGGAGGGGGCAAGCGUUGGUCGGAAUUACUGGGCGUAAAGGGCGCGUAGGCGGACCUUCAAGUCAGGGGUGAAAGGCCUGGGCUCAACCUGGGAACUGCCUUUGAAACUGGAGGUCUUGAGUCCGGGAGAGGAUGGCGGAAUUCCCAGUGUAGAGGUGAAAUUCGUAGAUAUUGGGAAGAACACCGGUGGCGAAGGCGGCCAUCUGGUCCGGCACUGACGAUGAGGCGCGAAAGCGUGGGGAGCAAACAGG